rnacentral:rRNA from 1 species
UACGUAGGGUGCAAGCGUUAAUCGGAAUUACUGGGCGUAAAGCGUGCGCAGGCGGUCUUGCAAGACAGAUGUGAAAUUCUCGGGCUUAAUUUGGGAACUGCAUUUGUGACUGCAAGGCUAGAGUACGGUAGAGGGGGAUGGAAUUCCGCGUGUAGCAGUGAAAUGCGUAGAUAUGCGGAGGAACACCGAUGGCGAAGGCAAUCCCCUGGACCUGUACUGACGCUCAUGCACGAAAGCGUGGGGAGCAAACAGG